AUCAAAACUGUAGUUACACAGUGGAGUGGCUGUAUCAGGGUAAAGAGGAAAUAUCUAACUCAGAUAUGGAGAUAUCACCAGCUGUUUCCCUUUACCUUGAAGUCCUCGGGUGACAAAACAGGUGGAGAUGAAAGAACAGCAACAACAAAAUCAACAACUACAGUUAUGCCAACGUCAGCUAUAAGAAGUGGAGAGACUACUUUAGAGGACAGAACCACAUCAAAUGGAAGUUACAUAACAUUUCCAAACAAAAGAAAAGAAAAACGAGGUUGGUCAUGGUGGUUCAUUGUUGUUCUUGUGGGUUUGGCAACACUCACAGGGAUUGCUGUAAUCAUAAUCAGACAGAAGACAAUGAAAGGUGAGACCAAUCACAGAUUGAAAGGAAAUAAAAGGCAAAGGGAAGAAAACACAACUGAACCUGGUGUUUCCUAUGCUUCCAUCAACUUCACCAGGAAGAGUAAGACGAAAGCCCAGGUUCUAGGUGACGGUGACACUGUGACCUAUAGCACUGUGAAAACUUUCUCCACUUCUGGAGUUUUCUGUGAUCCCAGCAGCCUUUACUCCAAUGUAAACAAACCAAAGAAAUAAGAUAUUACUUACUGCAUGUAUGACGUUGUUUAAAAUGUUGCAUAUUUUGACUGACUGAUCAUCAACUAAGAUGCAGGUUAGAGUAAACAGGGCUAUAAGCAUGCUCUAAAAUAGGAAAUCUAACUUUGUAACUGCUUGAAACUUGUUGUCUGUGGUCAUGGGCACAAGGUAUGAUGCAGCUCAUCUUA
ensembl:lncRNA